UACGGAGGAUGCAAGCGUUAUCCGGAUUUACUGGGCGUAAAGCGUGUGUAGGCGGGAGACCAAGUGGUGUAUGAAAUUUCCCGGCUUAACCGGGAAGGGUUAUGCCAGACUGGUUUUCUGGAGUGCGAGAGAGGGGCGUGGAAUUCCGGGUGUAGUGGUGAAAUGCGUAGAGAUCCGGAGGAACCCCAGAGGCGAAGGCGGCGCCCUGGCUCGCAACUGACGCUCAGACACGACAGCAUGGGGAGCGAACGGG
rnacentral:rRNA from 1 species